rnacentral:rRNA from 1 species
GACGAACGCUGGCGGCGUGCUUAACACAUGCAAGUCGUACGGUAAGGCCCUUUCGGGGGUACACGAGUGGCGCACGGGUGCGUAACACGUGCGUAACCUGCCCACAACUUUGGGAUAACGCUAGGAAACUGGUGCUAAUACUGGAUAUGUGCCCCUGCUGCAUGGUGGGGGUUGGAAAGCUCCGGCGGUUGUGGGUGGACUCGCGGCCUAUCCGCUUGUUGGUGGGGUAGCGGCCUACCCAGGCGGCGACGGGUAGCCGGCCCGCGACGGUGACCGGCCCCAGUGGGACUGAGAGACGGCCCAGACGCCGACGGGAGGCAGCAGUGGGGAAUAGUGCACAAUGGGCGCAAGCCGGAUGCAGCAACGCCGCGUGCGGGAGGACGGCCUUCGGGUUGUAAACCGCUUUCAGCAGGGACGAAGCUUUUUGUGACGGUACCUGCAGAAGAAGCACCGGCUAACUACGUG